rnacentral:pre_miRNA from 1 species
UCUUAUGGAUAAGCAAAGAAAGUGGUUUCUUGGGAUGGAACCUAUUUCUGGUGAAGAUGCCAUGAA